rnacentral:sRNA from 1 species
GUUGGGUGGGGUGGUGCACAUCUGUCAUCCCAGCAGCUCAGGAGGCUGAGGCAGGAGGAUCGCAGGUUGGAGGCCAGCCUCAGCAACUUAGCAAGGCCCUCAGCAACUCAGGGAGACCCUGUCUCUA